UACGUAGGGGGCAAGCGUUGUCCGGAAUCAUUGGGCGUAAAGAGCGCGUAGGCGGCCCUGUAAGUCCGCUGUGAAAGUCAAGGGCUCAACCCUUGGAUGCCGGUGGAUACUGCAGGGCUAGAGUCCGGAAGAGGCGAGUGGAAUUCCCGGUGUAGCGGUGAAAUGCGCAGAUAUCAGGAGGAACACCGGUGGCGAAGGCGGGUCUCUGGACCGAUACUGACGCUGAGGAGCGAAAGCAUGGGGAGCGAACGGG
rnacentral:rRNA from 1 species